UACGGGAGGCAGCAGUGGGGAAUAUUGCACAAUGGGCGCAAGCCUGAUGCAGCCAUGCCGCGUGUAUGAAGAAGGCCUUCGGGUUGUAAAGUACUUUCAGUCGUGAGGAAGGUGUUAAGGUUAAUAACCUUAGCAAUUGACGUUAGCGACAGAAGAAGCACCGGCUAACUCCGUGCCAGCAGCCGCGGUAAUACGGAGGGUGCGAGCGUUAAUCGGAAUUACUGGGCGUAAAGGGCACGCAGGCGGUUAAUUAAGUUGGAUGUGAAAUCCCCGGGCUUAACCUGGGAAUGGCAUUCAAGACUGGUUAGCUAGAGUCUUGUAGAGGGGGUAGAAUUCCAUGUGUAGCGGUGAAAUGCGUAGAGAUGUGGAGGAAUACCGGUGGCGAAGGCGGCCCCUGGACAAAGACUGACGCUCAUGUGCGAAAGCGUGGGGAGUAAACAGGGAUUAGAUACC
rnacentral:rRNA from 1 species